UACGUAGGCAGCAAGCGUUGUUCGGAGUUACUGGGCGUAAAGGGUGUGUAGGCGGUUCUUUAAGUUUGGUGUGAAAUCUCCCGGCUCAACCGGGAGGGUGCGCCGAAUACUGAGGGACUAGAGUGUGGGAGAGGAAAGUGGAAUUCCUGGUGUAGCGGUGAAAUGCGUAGAUAUCAGGAGGAACACCGGUGGUGUAGACGGCUUUCUGGACGACAACUGACGCUGAGACGCGAAAGCGUGGGGAGCAAACAGG
rnacentral:rRNA from 1 species